UGGGGAAUAUUGCGCAAUGGGGGAAACCCUGACGCAGCGACGCCGCGUGCGGGAUGAAGGUCUUCGGGUUGUAAACCGCUUUUGAUUGGGAGCAAGCUUUCGGGUGAGUGUACCUUUCGAAUAAGCGCCGGCUAACUACGUGCCAGCAGCCGCGGUAAUACGUAGGGCGCAAGCGUUAUCCGGAAUUAUUGGGCGUAAAGAGCUUGUAGGCGGUUCGUCGCGUCUGGUGUGAAAGCCCAUCGCUUAACGGUGGGUUUGCGCCGGGUACGGGCGGGCUAGAGUGCAGUAGGGGAGACUGGAAUUCCCGGUGUAACGGUGGAAUGUGUAGAUAUCGGGAAGAACACCAAUGGCGAAGGCAGGUCUCUGGGCUGUUACUGACGCUGAGAAGCGAAAGCGUGGGGAGCGAACAGG
rnacentral:rRNA from 1 species